rnacentral:rRNA from 1 species
CCUACGGGAGGCAGCAGUGAGGAAUAUUGGUCAAUGGGCUUACGCCUGAACCAGCCAAGUCGCGUGAGGGAAGACUGCCCUAUGGGUUGUAAACCUCUUUUGUCAGGGAGCAACGCCGGCUACGUGUAGCCGGACUGAGAGUACCUGAAGAAAAAGCAUCGGCUAACUCCGUGCCAGCAGCCGCGGUAAUACGGAGGAUGCGAGCGUUAUCCGGAUUUAUUGGGUUUAAGGGGUGCGUAGGCGGAAUGCCAAGUCAGCGGUAAAAUCGGGGGGCUAAACCUCGCUCUGCCGUUGAAACUGGCGGUCUUGAGUGGGCGAGAAGUAUGCGGAAUGCGUGGUGUAGCGGUGAAAUGCAUAGAUAUCACGCAGAACUCCGAUUGCGAAGGCAGCAUACCGGCGCCCAACUGACGCUGAAGCACGAAAGUGUGGGUAUCGAACAGGAUUAGAUACCCCUGUAGUC